UACGAAGGGGCUAGCGUUGCUCGGAAUUACUGGGCGUAAAGCGCACGUAGGCGGCUUCUAAGUCGGGGUGAAAUCCUGGAGCUCAACUCCAGAACUGCCUUCGAUACUGGAAAGCUCGAGUCCGGGAGAGGUGAGUGGAACUGCGAGUGUAGAGGUGAAAUUCGUAGAUAUUGCAAGAACACCAGUGGCGAAGGCGGCUCACUGGCCCGGUACUGACGCUGAGGUGCGAAAGCGUGGGGAGCAAACAGG
rnacentral:rRNA from 1 species